GGGGCAGCACGAUGUAGCAAUACAUUGGUGGCGACCGGCGCACGGGUGAGUAACGCGUAUGCAACCUACCUAUCAGAGGGGAAUAACCCGGCGAAAGUCGGACUAAUACCGCAUAAAACAGGGGUUCCACAUGGAAAUAUUUGUUAAAGAAUUAUCGCUGAUAGAUGGGCAUGCGUUCCAUUAGAUAGUUGGUGAGGUAACGGCUCACCAAGUCCACGAUGGAUAGGGGUUCUGAGAGGAAGGUCCCCCACACUGGUACUGAGACACGGACCAGACUCCUACGGGAGGCAGCAGUGAGGAAUAUUGGUCAAUGGGCGAGAGCCUGAACCAGCCAAGUCGCGUGAAGGAUGAAGGAUCUAUGGUUUGUAAACUUCUUUUAUAUGGGAAUAAAGUGAGAAACGUGUUCCUUUUUGUAUGUACCAUAUGAAUAAGCAUCGGCUAACUCCGUGCCAGCAGCCGCGGUAAUACGGAGGAUGCGAGCGUUAUCCGGAUUUAUUGGGUUUAAAGGGUGCGUAGGUGGUUAAUUAAGUCAGCGGUGAAAGUUUGUGGCUCAACCAUAAAAUUGCCGUUGAAACUGGUUGACUUGAGUAUAUUUGAGGUAGGCGGAAUGCGUGGUGUAGCGGUGAAAUGCAUAGAUAUCACGCAGAACUCCGAUUGCGAAGGCAGCUUACUAAACUAUAACUGACACUGAAGCACGAAAGCGUGGGGAUCAAACAGGAUUAGAUACCCUGGUAGUCCACGCAGUAAACGAUGAUUACUAGCUGUUUGCGAUACACAGUAAGCGGCACAGCGAAAGCGUUAAGUAAUCCACCUGGGGAGUACGCCGGCAACGGUGAAACUCAAAGGAAUUGACGGGGGCC
rnacentral:rRNA from 1 species